AAUGAUAAAAGAAUGCUCAAAAGAAUAAGUUGACAGAUGGUCGAAAAAUCUCAUGUUUGGGGUGUUGAGCUGUAAGAAAUUUGUACGCAGUGAGUGAGAUGUGAAAGGCGUUGUGAUGGAUGUGCUAGUAUUUUAAGAAUGGUGGUAAGCUACUUAACCAAAUAUUAUCCUACCUUUACCAAAAGCCCCGUUACAUCCCAAUGAAUAAGACCUUUUGAUUUGUGAAUCAUAUUGACUUGUGAGCAAUGAAUUUUGCUUGAUUUUGGGAGAAAGAUCUUAUGUGCAUAAAAUAAAGAAUAGUCAGAAGAACUUCUCUUUAUGAAUUAGUGACGAGACUCCCAACACACAACACGGACUUAGAUUGAAGCAUGGGAUGCCUAGUUCUUAGGGAAUUAGUUCGUGUAUAAUUCUUGUUCUAAAGUUUUACCCGCGAGUGAAUUCGGGGCCGGCCUAUUUUCCCUACUGAUUCAUAUGGUUUGGCGUGACUUGAAGCAGAGGAUUAUCUAAUAUAUCUUGUGAGUGUGAUUUAUUGUGUUACUUGCUCGAGGGCUAGCAAGACUUAAGUUUUGGGGGUGUUUGAUGUGAAUGGGUACUUUUCUAACUUGUUCCUCGGACAGUAUACAAUGGAAUGGAGGUCAGAUAUAUAUUAUCUAUUUUCAUCUUUAUAAUCUUUAUUUAUGUCUCAUUUCAUUUUUUCAUUUUGUUCGCAUCAGUUUGCUCAUUUUCUAGGCAAGAAUCAAUCCAUCCAGAGCUCAAAUGCAUUUCCAGUUUGCCCCUCCGCUUCAUUAGUGGGUGGACUUUCUUGGAAAUUUGCAUCUCUAUUUCCAAGAUUCCUACAAGAAUCAAAGGACUACAUAAGGGUGGAGAACUCUAGGAAGGAAUCGGAGGAAUUUGGAGCACAAAAUCAAGGAAUCCUCAUUCUACCACCUGCUCGAGAAAAUGCUCAACUGAAAGAGCUUGUUGUAUGUUUGCCUACACUAGUUUAUUGUAAUUUAGCAUCGAAGUGGCUGUUGGAAUGUGAUCAUAAGCCCAAGGUGAAGAUGAAGUGUGGGGUUGAUUGUGUUGAGUUCUACUCCAAAUUCAGUCACCAUUGUAAUAGUGGCAGUCUGGGAUUAUUUCUCUAAGAUAUUUGAUACUGAUUCUUCUAGACAUGGAAUGGAUUCCAUAGGUGGUGUAGUUGAGCAACUUAGUGGUGUUGUGGAGGAAGAAUCGAUGAUGUUAAGAAAGGAUGCUAUUGGUAAUUUUGAAGAGUUAGGGAACUAUAGCAAAUUUUCAUUGCAAUUUUGUCUUGAUGCAAAGGCUGGUGGUGGAAAAAUCGACCAUGGCCAGGUGAAGAAGGGCAUGGAAUUAGAGCAGAAUCAACUCCAGAGAAUUGAACGCCUAUCUCAUGCUCGAAAAAAUGCCACAGUGAGGAAGCAAACUGUGGUUUUACCUAUCUCAGCCGGUUAUAGUUUGUCACUGUCGUGGCUGCUCAAUUGGUUUCCGAGGCCUAAGGUGAAGAUGAAAACGAAGGAGGUGGAAGUAGGAGACUUAAUUUCUACCCUUACACAAGAGUUGGGAGAAGGGAUACCGUUUGUAGAUGAUGCAUCAAGAUUUUUGAGUAUCAAGAUUACUAGAGCAGUAGUUAAAGUUCCUGCAUAUUUAAAUGACUCUCAAAGGAUUUACACCGAAUGAUGUGUAGGUGCCGUAGCAAGAUGGAAAAGAUAAUAGGGAUAUUUUCAUUAUAGAAAUUGGAAUUUUAGUAGGCAAGAAACAUGGUGGUAAAAGAGAGGAAGAUCCAUUGCAUGGAGAUAUGUCAUUUGAUAGAUGUCUCUGUAUUGAUGAAGGUAUAGAACAGUUGGAGCAAUUGGGAUCAUUGUGCAAUAACUAUGUGUGUCAAGGGAGAUUUUAUAUUUAUGAAGGACUAGAACGAGCGGAGAAAAUGGAGACACUUUUUGUUAAAGUUGAACACUUGUUUUGUUAUAAUUUUCAGCUCAAGCCCUUGUGGAUUUUGGUCUGUAUCAGAUUCUGGACGAAAACGGGACCAUGGCUUGAGAGCUCCCUUAUUCGUACCUUCCAUUUAGGAUGCUUACAUUUCGCUCUGUUCUUGCUGACAAUGACUUGUUUCCUUCCUUCCUUGACGACAAGAAAGCUCACUGGAGUUUGCUCAUUUUCUAGGCAAGAAUCAAUCCAUCCAGAGCUCAAAUGCAUUUCCAGUUUGCCCCUCCGCUUCAUUAGUGGGUGGACUUUCUUGGAAAAAAACAAAAUUGAAUCAAGUUAGAAAAAUUAUGGUGAUCAUUUUUAGUUCCUUCAUCUCACAUUGCAAUUAGCGAUGGUACACAAACUCUUGAAAAUGACAUAAUUCCUUCAUUCCUUCUUGCUUGGGCCAGCUACUAAUGGAACCUUCCAGUUACGCAUAAGUGAGUACAUUCUGUUUAUAUAUUAGCCAUUAGGUGUGUUUGUGUUUUUUAAAUUAGGCGUGUUUGUGUUUUUUAAAUGACCAAGUUUGGAGACAAAUAAAAAGUCGUUUGCUUGAAA